GGUUGACCUCGGAUCAGA
rnacentral:rRNA from 1 species